rfam:Pteropus alecto contig85886, whole genome shotgun sequence.
GUCUACGGCCAUGCUACCCUGAAUGAGCCUGAUCCUGUCUGAUCUUGGAAGUUAAGCAGGUUCGGGCCUGGUUAGUACUUGGAUGGGAGACCACCUAGGAAGCCCAGGUGCUGUAGGUG